rnacentral:lncRNA from 10 species
GUAAAGGCCAAGUUGAAAGUUAAGAGUCUGUUUACCUCCAGGAGCCCAUUCAGCUCGGCCCCACAGACAGCCUGUGACCUUUACAGCCCGGCCUUUGAGCGCGGCCGCCGCGCCCCCGGGGGUUCCGGCAACGGGGACUUGGCACCUCGGUGUCAGCUCCCGCCCCCACCCAGGCUAGGGACCCGCCAACGAGGGGUGGGGGCGGGAGGCGCCCACCCGUCGCACUAGUGGGCAUUUGCUAAACUACGUUUUAUUUUUUUGUAAAGUGAGCGCCCGCUGCCUUCGUUCUCCCAACUGGAGCAAACUCUGUGGCGGCGACGAUGGCGGCCGUCAGUCAGCCCUGCGACAUCCUCAGGAAUUAGAACCCUCUCGGGAUAAGCCUAAGUGCCUCUGAGGCCAGGGCUGAGGGAGCCAGCUAUCAAAACCAUGGGACAAAUGGAUCUGAGGAGGAAUCGAAGGAUGGACAGCUGAAGGGAGAGGCUUGCUCCAACAACAGGGCGGCCACGGCAGCUGCUGCGCGCCCUGACGCCGCCUAGAAACCGGAGGAGGGCCUAGCCAAGCCCAGAGAACUUUGGUGGUAUUUGAGGAGAAGGUGAAGAUUUUGGUUGGAAGAGGGACCAGCAGACAAACUUGUUCUCUUGUGUAUAAAAAGCCAUAACACGCCCCACAUCCCUCAAGCUAGGAAGAAACCUGGGCUGGAUGGUGACCCACUGGAGAAGCUGUGACAUCCUAGCAUGGGGAAGAGUACCAGGAUGCCCACUCCUCUUCCCCAGGAACCACCAAGGAGCCUGGAGCCUGGCUUUAUCUCAGCCCUGAGUCCCCCUCUCCCGGUGCGCACACCCCUAACUUUUUUUUUUUAGAUGGAAUCUUGCUCUGUCGCCCAGGCUGGAGUGCAACGGCAGCUCACUGUAACCUCCACCUCCCAGGUUCAAGCGAUUCUCCUGCCUCAGCCUCCCGAGUAGCUGGGAUUACAGGCGCGUGACUCCAUGCCUGGCUAAUUUUUGUAUUUUUAGUAGAGGUAGGGUUUCACCAUGUUGACCAGGGUGGUCUGGAACUCCUGAUCUCAGGUGAUCUGCCUGCCUCCACCUCCCAAAGUGCUGGAAUUACAGGUGUGAGCUACCGCGCCCGGCCAAUCUGGGGCUCCUAGCUUUGGUGCACCAACUACUCAAAUCCCCAACUUCUCUCCAAGAGGAAUUUCAAGAAACACUGACCAAUCUGGUUACAGAAGCUGAAGGGGCCCCAACCAGGCUGCAAUAAACCUGCUUUACCCUUCUAAGCUGAAGUCUCUCUUGCCCAAAACUUUGUUCUCUGGGACCUGGUGAGAGGGUGACUCCGUGAGUGCAGAAUGCAGUGCAGACGUUAUUGAAGAGGCCUCACAUUUUUCAUUUCCAGACUACACCUAGCUCGUAAGAAGCCAGGGAAUAUAAUAAAUUCUCCCCUGCAGGACCUGGUUUUAAUUAAUUAUUGGGUUAUUCAAGGUGACUCAUGUGUGAAAUGCAAUGUGCACUCGUAAACUGAAUCUCACAUAAUCCAUUCUAAGUAACUGGCUGCGAGCUAUCCUCUCCAGAGACUUACACAAAACUUAUAUUUAUCCUUUGAGGGUCUUGGGGCAAAAUGUAAGGGUGACUUCAGUUUAAAGAGAGCUCACUUGGCUGGCUAGGGGUACUAAGAAACUGGGUCUUGUUUUCUCAACUGCUGAUUUGAUGAGGUUUAUUUCUUAGAACAUCUGGUGUUUUUAUAUGUAUAGUAUAUAUAUAAGAUAUAUGUAUACGUGUAUACACACAUAUACAUUUAUAUAUUUUAGUCAUUUGUUUUGCAGUAUCUGCAAAGGAUAUGUGAAGCCAGCUCAUUGCAGAAUAGAAAUUGAUGCUGAGUUUUUCUACAGCUAACCUGGCAGCUGAAGCUCCUCCUACUGCCAGGACCUCUGAAAUUUGGUCUUUAUCACCCACGAUCCAUGUUCAUCUCACAUCUCAAGGUCUCUCCUGUACAGCGUGGAAUUGCUCUUGUCUGGGAUUUAUAUUCCCUUCUGUGUAACUUAAAAACUCCAGGCCCCAUAUCUUCAAAACAGGCUUCUGUUCAGAAUGGGUGUGAGUCUCCCGCAAAGAGCCAUUAACACUGCAGAGCCUCUUGGUCUGCAGCAUUAGGGAGUCUACAUUUUUGAAACCAUUUUGGGAUGGUAGGGUUGGGGGCUGAGUCUGUUCAUGUAAACAGGAUCUGGAAAUGGUGAGGGAGUGCAUCUGGCUACUCUACAUAGCUCCACCUGUUUGCCAGGUGCCUUCUCCAGACCCAGGCAAUGCAGAGGAGGGGGUUGGGUGGGGGAGGGGAAGGGAUCCAAGGGAGACUGUGAGCCCCCUACCCAGAGUUCAGCCAGAGAAGGAAAGGGAGACUCUGGCAUUGCACCUGGGUUCCUGCCCCAGAAAAGAGGGUAAGAUCUGAUUUUUUUUGGCGAAGGAAGGAAGGAGAAACUGAAGGAAGAACGGGAUGGUUUAUUUUCUCUCAGUUUUUGUCUGACCCCUGGGUUGGAAGUGGAAGGCUCUGCUAGGGGCCCUGCACUAAGCCAGUUCUGAGCGGAGGAAGCCUCCAGCUUUUUUUCUUCCUGGUUUUCUUUUCCCUUUUGCCUCCUUUAAUUCCCUUUCUUGACCUGGAAGCCAGACAUUUUUUUUUCUAGGUAAAAGAGAGGCUAGAUUCCAAAUACCCCCUCAGCUCCCUGCAGACCCUGGAACUCUGUCCUGACUGGUCCCUGAAGUUCCUCUGGGCCUUCCAAACAGUGGAUAAAGUCUGUGUCUCAGCUAGAGUCUCAGCCUGGAAUUUCUUUUUCAUGCAUGGGCAGGCCUAGGGACUCUAAACUUUUGAAAAAAAAUAAAAUUUUCUUCCUUUCUCUGACCUACUUGAACUUUCAGUUCCAGGAGGAAGGAAAUAAAUGUGAUGUAGUUUCAAAGUAUGUGGGAAUUUAAUAAAUGCAGGCCGUGGAGGGUCACUUUCCCCAUGAAGACAACUUUAUCUGCCCCACUAGGCAUCUGAAACAGUGCCAUCCGAAACAGUGCCAUGCGAAACAGUGCCCACAAGCACCCACCUGCAAAAAGACACAGUGACGGAGCAACAGCAGCUGCGUCCUUACACGCAGAUGAGCUGAUCCAGGCUUUGAAGGAGCCAGUUAACCAGAGAUGGGUUAAUUCCUUUGCCAGACCAGAGGUAUUGAAUCCAGAGAACCCUCACUCCAGAGAAAUGGAAGAAGUCUGUGACAGACAGGCAGAGGGACAGAGGGACAGAUGGGAGCUCACAUAGGGAAAAGAAAAAGGAUGAAAAUUGUAGUUAAAGAAAUCAGGGACUUUCAGGGCACGCAGAGCAGAGCUGAUGGGAAGUCCCAGAGAGCUGGAUAGGAGGGUAGUGGAGGCUGGGAUUAUCCAGAACUUGUUUUAACACAGGUAUACCUGGCUCGGCUCAGCACCUGCUAGGUUGGCUUUCUAGGAUGACAAAAUAACCAGCCAGCCCUGCCAAUUCUGGGAGAAAUCAGCCAGAGCCAUUGUUUGGCUUGUCUUCGACCAAACAAUAGUUGAUUGGCUGGAAUUUUCACUUUCCCUGAGUUGUUAGCUCCUGUAAGGAGCUGGUCAAGUCCCCUUGCCCUUAGCUAAGAGUAGACCCCAGCCCCUUCUCUCCCGGCCAAGAGCUGAUCGACCUGUCAGUGCAGGAAAAUCUCUCAAUUACUCACCUCUACCGAUUGAAUAUUGAGAGGGAAGUGUUUUGGUUUGUUGCUUGUAAACAAAACAAUCUAGAGUGAUCCAGAAGUUUUAUCAGCUCUAAUCUCAUCUCUUUCAUCAAGUUAUAGGCCCAGAAUCAGGACUAGAGACCCACCCACAUUUUUAAAGCCCCAGACAGCCUACACGUUUGUGUGUGUGUGUGUGUGUGUGUGUGUGUGUGUGUGGUGUGCGUGUGUUUGGUAGCCUGUAUAGGGAAGUUUUUAUUUUUAUUUUCAUUUUCAUCAUUAGUCUUAUUCUUGGUUAUCUCUACUUGUUUGAUGUGACAGAGCCACAGCUAUAUUCACAACAAAGAAGGCUGAAGCAUUUGGGCAAAUACUCAGAUUCUAAUCUCCGCCCCAACCCCCCACCCCUCCAUUUAGCCACAUCAGUCAGAGGGCCCCCCGCCAGGGGAAAGAGAGUGGAAUGGGGGAUUGAGAAACAAGAUUCCAAGGGCCGUGCUUGGCUGACAGUGGUCUUUCCUUCUUUUAGUAGUUUCUUUGGAGGGACUGAUGAGGGACAGCAGAAUCCCCAGGAAGGGAGUGGAGGAGGUGAAAUGCUGCCAUCAGUGAAAUGGAGAAAGAAGGAAAGCGGAGGGUUUGCUGGUUCCGGGGGGGAGUAAAUCAGUCGCUUUAUAAUUCCACGAUGUUUGCAUCAUUUUGGCUUCUGAGAGGCUGCGUUUUGAGGAGACACCAGAAGCCUGGGAAGUUCGCUUACUGGUUCUCAAGUCAGAGUCCCCCUUCCCGGGGCUCCUUCUGGGGACUCCGGGGGAGAGGGAUCUCUCUGUCCAUCCUGCAACUCCUCUCCUGGCAUAGAUGCCCCGCACCCCCACCUUGGGCCAUCCUUAUCUGCCUGUUCCCCAUCACGAUUGAUCCUCCAGGGUCGCCAAGGCUCCUGCUGACUACAAAAACAUCCCCAAGAUUCCCUUCUUGACCCGGUUCAGGCAUAUCUCUUUAUACUUCCAUGUCUCCGUUUCUCUAUAUUUUUACUGUGGAGGACUCAGAAGAGAGCUGAGGCUAUUGUCCGGGGAGGAAAGGAAUUCGGGCAAAUUUGUGGGUAGGGGCCCAGACCCAAGACCCGUGUUUCUCCUGCGUGGGUUGGAGUCUGUCUCAGGUCGCUCCAGGGACAUCAAGAGCCCGCGCCGCCGAGAGCCCGCGCCGCCGUCCAGCGGGAAGCAGCGGACCCACAGGGGCCUCCAGCCGCCUCCCCGCUCCCGCCCCGUGUUUCUCCUGGGCCUCCAGCUCCGUGGAGAGAGCUGAGAGUUCUCGGCCCGCGGGCUUCCUCACCAAAUCCCCAAAAACCGACGCAGGCACAGAGGGCUGACUGUGUUUUGAGUAAUGCACGCGAGGCAGUCCAAUCCGGCGAGAUGGCCCGAAGCGGGGCCCAGCGGUCGGGGGUGUGGGUCUGGAGAGAGAGGGUCUCCCCACUUCCUUCCUCCGGCUGCUCGGUCACCCAUCGACUACCCGGGCGGAAGCGGGGCGCAGAGGGGCGCAGAGGGAGGCAUUGCCCUCCAGGAGUAUCUAUUCCCAUCGGGGUAUGGUGAAUGCCAUCUAGGCCCAUGCUCCAUUCCCAGGGCCCCCUCGGUUCCUCCAAAG